UACGUAGGGUGCAAGCGUUUAAUCGGAAUUACUGGGCGUAAAGCGUGCGCAGGCGGUGAUGUAAGACAGAUGUGAAAUCCCCGGGCUCAACCUGGGAACUGCAUUUGUGACUGCAUCGCUGGAGUGCGGCAGAGGGGGAUGGAAUUUCGCGUGUAGCAGUGAAAUGCGUAGAUAUGCGGAGGAACACCGAUGGCGGAAGGCAAUCCCCUGGGCCUGCACUGACGCUUAUGCACGAAAGCGUGGGGGAGCAAACAGG
rnacentral:rRNA from 1 species